GCGGGAGUAGCUCAGCUGGCAGAGCGCGACCUUCCCAAGGUUGAGGCCGCGGGUUCGAUCCCCGUCUCCCGCUCCA
rnacentral:tRNA from 1 species